ACAUAAAUUUAAAAUUCAUAAUAUCAGGCAACUAGCAGGGUAUGAUGGCGUAUACCUAUAAUCCCAGCACUUGGGAGGCUGAAACAGUGUUGUUCCAUGUUUGAAUCUGGCCUGGGUUACGUAGUGAGUUCAAGGACAGCCUGAACUACAUGGUGCAACCCUGUCUCAAAAGACAAAACAAACAAAAUAAAAACUUAAAAAAAAAUAAAUCAAGCAACCAACCAGAAAUGUCUGAACAUUGGUAGAAACAGGAAACUGACCCAUGUCUACAGGAAAAAACAGAAAACGGACAGAGAUACUAUAAUUAAGAGAAAAAUGUUUUGAAUCACCACUAUAACUGCAGUGCAUAUAUUAGAAAACCUUGAAGAAAGCAUAAACAUAGUGAGAAAAUGAAUGGACCAAGUAAAGCUUCUUAGAAAAGAAUACAUAAUAUGUAAAAUGAGAAAUGUACUGAUUGGGAUUAAAAUCUGAUUAGACAUUGUCAUAUGCAUAAAAUGACUAUAAUUCUAUUCUCUAGCAACAACAUUAGGUUAAAAUAUAGAUGAUGAUAGACUGCAGAUGCAUAGAAGGCCAUCCAAAAAUGUGAAAUGAAAUACUUAAAGAUAUAGCCAACAAAAUUUAAAAUAAGAUUUAUGUGCUGAAAAUUAUAAAAAAUUAUUGAAAGAAACUAAAAGAGAUAAAAUGUUGGGGGUGAAAUCAUUUGAUAUUCAGGUGCUAGUUCUCCCCAAAUUGAUCUAUAGAUACAAGAUAAAGAAAAAUAAAAAUGGCAGUUUUUUUAUAUAGAAAUUGACAAAUUAAUUCUAAAAAUUAUAUAGAAAUUCAAGGGACUUCAGAUAUCUAAAUAUAUCUUGAGAAAGAGACUCAAUUGGAGACCUCUGGACGUGGAAGGGAAGCUUGAUGGCCGUGGUGAUGUGGUGCAGAAGGCCAGGGGGACUCAUGCGGGGAGGGAUGGGCGCAGGAAGAGACCACAUGCCAAGGGUCGAGUGCCUUUAAUAAGGUGCCAAAGCGGCUGGUGCAGGAAGAACACCCUAAAGUGGUGCAGGCACAACAGAAUUUUCAUAUCCAAAGGUUGAUCCUUGCCCUUGCCUCACACCAUAUGUAAAAAUUAACUCAAAUAGAUUAUAGUAAAUGCCAAAGCUAGACCAAAUAUCUAAAAGAAAACACAAGAGAAAGUCUUUGUAAUUACAGAAAGAAGAGUUCUCUUAUAUAAAUUGCAAAAAAAUUGUUAAAAAAUGAUAAAUGAUGCUUGAUCAGAAUUUAAAAUUUCUGCUCUUUGAAAGACACUUGAGGAAAUAGGAAAAAAUCAUAGAAUUGGAAAAUAAAAUUUAUCAAGUCAAAUAGGUGCUAGUAGGCUGUAUCCAAAUGUGCAAAGAAUUCUUAAUAUCUAAGAUGAUAAAUAUCUCGUUAAAAACAGAAAAAAACCUAAACAGAUAGUUCAUCAACAAAAAUAUAUAGAUAAAAUUACACAUAAAAAAUGAUGUUUAACAUCACUGGGCAUUAGGGAAAUGCAAAUUAAAAAGAAUAGGAGAUAUUAUUUCACACCCAAGAGUGGCUAAAAUUAGACAGGCAAACAAGAAAUGUAAAUGAAUAUGUAAAGCAAUCUUAGCUCUCCUGUUCGGUGGUGGGAAUGAGGAAACACACUGCCAUUUUGAGAAAAGUGUGUUAGUUCCCUAUAAAGUGAGACACAUACUUACCACAGGAACCACAAACUGACUUCUACAUAUUUUACCCAAGAAACAUGAAAACAUAUACACUCAAACACGCAGGGCACUCAUCCUGCCAUUCCAGUCAGGAAUAAGAGUAGAUCAAAGGAAAUUAAGGCACUGCCUUCCAAACAGGACAAGAUCAAAGCCACACUUCUCCCUCUCUGUCAGCAGUGCCUCUCCAUGCUGGGCCCCUUCCCAAUGCCCUACCAACAGUGACCAGCUACCGAGCCUUCCCUGGUGCUGACCUCCUCCCAAGAGCGAACUGCUCUCCCACACCUCUCACUGUCUUGCUGGUGUCACCCCAUGUGAUAAACAUGGGCUUUCCUGGCGUAUUCUUGAUCUAGAGGCUCAUGUUUGUUCCCACUCCUGGGUCUGUCCUCACAAGACAUUUUGUAAACAUGUGUUGACCUCAGUUAAAUACGAUUUCAGAAAAUAUUAUAUAUUGCAAUGGAGGUUAAAUUUUUUAAAUUCCAUAUCUCUUUAGAUAACAGGAUGAAACCAUUGGUUAAAAUCAUGUAGAUGUAAUGACGAACUGAAUCCUGUUGAGGUUAAGAAUCAGUGUUCUUGAUAACAAAUUGCUGUGGUGUUUACGUAUAUGCCAGGCUCCCGCAGGACCUGGAAAUGAUUCAGUGUGAAAUAAUUCAGACUACUGUGUUCACCACCAAAAAGCAGAGUGCCUUGUUGGAAGGAGAUUUUAUGGUAGUAGACUGACAUCUGCGUCUCUAUAGUAUAUACAGAGUACUAGACACGUUGCUCCAUCACUCAGCCUUGAGCAGGAUUUAUCAGCUCUUUGGAAAAAUAAAGUGUGGAUUUUCUGUUAUAAGAACUAAAAUUUUGAUGACAAAAUUAUUUAGAAGUUUUUGAAUAGAUAUUUCUGUGCUUUAAUGAACUGCAAGCAAAAUAUACUGGUAUCCAUCAGUGGUAAAUGAGAGAUGUAAGGAAGGGUGUUCGGUCUUUGGCCCAUUUCUUGGUGAAGCAUUGAUUCAAUAGCAGCAGCCACCCAAUCAAGUCGUCUGGCUCUAUCUUGACUUGAGACUGUUCACUUUCUUUCUCACAUGUUCUCUUUCUUAUCAUCAGCUCUUAUUUUGAUGUCAUUCGGUCAGAUAUAAAAAACAGAUGCCUAACUGAUUCUUAAAAUGUCAUUUGGCUUUGCAAUUUAAAGCCUUCUUGUCUGGCACACGGCUGCUUUAAGUGUCAUAGUUUUUGGUUCAGUGGCUCUCUGUCAUGCUCACCUGGUAAUCCACCUCUCACUGGACUUGCAGCCUUUCCAACUCACUAGGGUCUCAUGAAACCACACUAUGCAUUGCAUAUUUAGAUUACAUGGCACUCAUAAUCUAAAAUAUCCUUAAGUGUUUCAUUUGCCACAAGCCUAUGCUUCACUGAUGAGUUUUAUGAAGGUAGAAUUUCUCAACUCCUGCUUUGCUUGUCUCUACUCUGAAAUAACAUCUCAAGAGCAGUCAUAGAACUUUGAACCCAGGUUGCCCAGUGAGCGAUGCCUGUGGACUCCAGGAGGAUGGAGAUGAGGAAGAAGUGCUGUGGCUGGCUUACAGAAACAGAGAUGAGUGCCUCUAAUUGAGGGGUAACAGUUGUUAUCCAUCCCAGCAGGGUGCUGAUGUUCAUCAUGAAAGAAUCACAAGAGCCUGUCAAGGGAGCCACGAGUCUGGAGUCAGCAUGAGUUUACCAAUGAUCCAUGGGCAGACUGGUACCCAAACCAUGGUUGUCAUGAUCUCCAGACUGCAGAGGAGGAAGUGUGGCAGACAUUAAAAAUCUCUGACUCAACCUGAAACUUAUAAAUAAUGGGGAAAGUCAACUAUAUAAUCUUGGUGCCAGGUCAAUGAGAUAGUUUGCUAGUUGUACAUAAGAUUGUUUGCUCAUUUGGAUGACUGUCCACAUGGUACCCGUUAAGGGGCAGCUUGUUAUAGACCCUUCUGAUAUCAUGCUGAUCUCAGCCUCUCAGCAUGCUGCUCAUUUUGUUUCUGUCAGUGAUGGAGACAAACAAAUGGAGCCAAGGUCUGAAGAUGAUGAGAAGCCAAAAACACAAUAUACUGGGUGACAGAAUCGAUGGGCAAAAAGUCAGCACUGAAUCAAAUACCUGACUUAAGAAGAGAUGCUCAAAGCUAAUACACCUGAUUCAGCGCCUACGGUCACCAGAAUCACAGCCUUAACGAUGUCCUUGCGCUAAUCAAUGGGACCUGUGAACACAUCACCUUACACAGCAAAAGGGACUUUGCAGGUGUAACUCAGCGUCUCCCAAGUCUAUUUACUACAGGACCUUUUGAGUCCUGCAAGUGUAAACAGUGAACAGGACCAGGACUCAUGGCAUCAACUGGUGUAAGAAACCUGUUAAAGGGGUUGGUGCAACAGAGAAAUGGGGGAGGAAAUGUCCAAGACUGGGAGAAAGCCACCCACAAGGGAGAAGGGCUGGCAAGAAGCCAGUGCCCACUGCUUGCCUCUGAACAAGCACCAACCUGCGCAAGAAGAUGCAACGCAAGAAAAACAUCGGGCAUAUUUAUCAGAAUAUUAUUAGUAAAGAAAUCAUGCUGAAAUUUCAAUUUGAAAACAUUUAGUGUCAAGCUUAACAGUUUAAAACAUUAAGUGAGACUUUAAGAGCAUCCUUUAAAAAAGAGAUAACCAUACAAGACAAGGAGCAAAAACUAAAUAAGAGUAUGUAUGUAUAUGACUUCACAUUUGUGUGUGUAUGUGUGAGUAUUUAUAUAUGAAAGUGUACAUAUGUGGCUGUUUAUAUGGGUGUGCAUAUGUGUAGUUGUAUUCUCAUGUAUAUUCACAUGUGUGUGUACAUAGGUAUAUUUAUGUGUGAUCUUGUGUGUAUGUAUAUAUGCAUGUACAUAUGCUGUAAUUUAAGUAUAAAUCAUAUACUGGGCACUAAGAUCACUAAUUUAUAUCUAUUACCUUUUAACUUCACAAUGGCAUACCCAUUUCAUAGAUGGGAAGAAUGCAUCCUGUCUACUUUUCAUCAUUGUCUCUUACUCACCAUGUGAUUUAUUCUGCCUUAUCAGGUGCUAGUGAAGUGCUGUAAAAUUCCCACAAGAUCUUAAAUUAUAUAUGUAUUUUAAAGCCUAUAAAUAUCAGAAUUUCUUUUAUUAAAAUGAUUCAAUAAAUGUAUGUUCUAAAUUUA